rnacentral:rRNA from 1 species
ACCCGCUGAACUUAAGCAUAUUACUAAGCGGAGGAAAAGAAAUCAACGAAGAUUGCCUCAGUAGCGGCGAGUGAAGCGGCAAUAGCUCAAGUUUAGAAUCUGUGGCUGUAUCAGUCACCGAAUUGUAAUCUAAAGGGGCUAACAAAAGGGGAUGUGGAGGCAUAAGUUCCUUGGAAAAGGACGUCAAAGAGGGUGAAAACCCCGUAUGCAGCCUCCGCUGAACUGAAUGUUGACCUUCUGAGAGUCGGGUUGUUUGGGAUUGCAGCCCUAAAUGGGAGAUAAACUUCUUCUAAGGCUAAAUAUCUAUGGGAAACCGAUAGCGAACAAGUACUGUGAAGGAAAGGUGAAAAGAACUUUGAAAAGAGGGUUAAAAGACUUGAAAUCGUUGAGAAGGAAGCAGUAAAAGUGGAUUUAAGUUAGUUAUGAAGCAAGCUAUGUAAGGAACCAGCUCGUAGUAGUUUCGGUACGUCAUUGGCUACCUGCUACGAUGUAAUGGCACUUUAUGGCGAUUUCAUAACUAAAGGGCAGAACCAGGUCUUGUUCUUGUUGGAAUCAGUAAGGGUGAAGUCCACAGUUUACUGUGAGCACCUUUAUAAAACAGCAAGCUGGCCUGAGGAAAUAGGUUCUGCCACAACGGCUUU